rnacentral:misc_RNA from 1 species
GUGGGACACUAACCAAAGAUCAUUUGGUUUCUCAGGCUCUGUAGUCCGCCUUUAUCGUUUCCUUGGGGAUUCAAUAGCAGAGAUGACGGAUGGAAAUCUGCCCAAUAUAAAGAAAUGGGUUGUGUUGUAUCCUGUUUACAUAAACUCAAAGAAGACCAUAGCUGAGGGCAGGCGAAUCAGCGCGACUAAAGCUUGCGAAAAUCCAACUUGUGCUGAGAUUAGUGAUUGCUGCAGCCAUCUCAAACUCCCU